rnacentral:rRNA from 1 species
UACGUAGGGGGCAAGCGUUGUCCGGAAUCAUUGGGCGUAAAGCGCGUGUAGGCGGCUUCGUAAGUCCGUUGUGAAAGUCCAGGGCUCAACCCUGGAAUGCCGAUGGAUACUGCGGAGCUAGAGUCCGGAAGAGGCGAGUGGAAUUCCUGGUGUAGCGGUGAAAUGCGCAGAUAUCAGGAGGAACACCUGUGGUGUAGACAGCUUACUGGACCACUUCUGACGCUGAGUGAGCGAAAGCCAGGGGAGCAAACGGG